rnacentral:misc_RNA from 1 species
GAUGAAGAACGCAGUGAAAUGCGAUAAGUAAUGUGAAUUGCAGAAUUCAGUGAAUCAUCGAAUCUUUGAACGCACAUUGCGCCCGCUAGUAUUCUGGCGGGCAUGCCUGUCCGAGCGUCAUUUCAACCCUCAAGCCCCCGGGCUUGGUGUUGGGGAUCGGCGAGCCUCCGCGCCCGCCGUCCCCUAAAUCUAGUGGCGGUCUCGCUGUAGCUUCCUCUGCGUAGUAGCUAACACCUCGCAACUGGAACGCGGCGCGGCCAUGCCGUAAAACCCCAACUUCUGAAUGUUGACCUCGGAUCAGGUAGGAAUACCCGCUGAACUUAAGCAUAUCAAUAAGCGGAGGA